UUAACACUCCUGGAGACUGAAGUCGUCUGUCUAUCAAUGGAAUUGGUACAGAAUAGGAAAUGGGAGUGCAAGAUUUUCUACUCUUUUCAAUCAGUAUGCCUCAAUUCUGACUUUGAGGGAAUACCUCUAAGGGUAGUUUAAUCUCCAUCUCCAUUUAGUCCUUGGCCUCU
ensembl:misc_RNA